rnacentral:lncRNA from 1 species
GCUGGCCCACUACCUGGCACCGCAAAGAGUAGCCCCCACAGGGCUGGCCUUUUUCUUUUACGAAGGACCCAGCCAUGUGAUGUCACUAUCCUCACACAAUCCUGUGGCCUGGCAUCAGUUUACAGAAGACAGUUUGGAUCAUCACAGGGCAGGACCUGGGGGAAAGGUCAUGUGUGGCCUCCUGGAUUCCCUUUAUCAGCCCUGUGCAGAGGAGCUCUCCGGACCAAGCCGCUUCUCUGUUUUUGUACCAGUCCCUGUAACAGGCUUCUGUGAGGUGGGAGCAGCUGAGGAUUGCAGUUUCCUUCAAGGCCUAAUGAGGUGAAAGGGGCCUGGGGGUGAUUCAGGUCAGUGUGCUUGGAGCGUGUUCAUCUUCCAGGAGAGAAUUAUAUGAACAGUCACCUCAGGUUUCCUUUGUAGACACGCUCUAAGGUGUGUUUAAGUUUGCGUGGCUAAAGCCUGUUGGGGCACAGGCUGGAGCCCAGUCCAGAGCUCCCUGCAGCCGCCUGAAAGCAGGUCUCUUAAUGGCGUCUCUGGGUGGGUGACAGCUGAGCCCUUCACAGACUGGCUAGAUCAUUGUCCACGUCCUCAUGGUACUCUGUGUCCUCAGAACCACACAGGUUAUUUAACUGAAGGCUGUAAGAUCU